AUGGACCAUUCCAUCCCUUUUUCCCGUGCAUAUGCAUCGGACUCGGAUGACGAUGGUCCCGAUGAACAAGUUGAUGCGGAGGGGUUCACGGUGAAGGAGGCCGAAGCUUUCGAGAAGGUAUUUGGUCGGGAUCAUCGGACUACAUUGUUCAAGGAUGUUAGUCUCGCGGAUGAAGCCGUGGUAGAUGGUGGCCAAUGUGUACCUCUUGGGGUUAGGCCAAGCUCUCACCGUGAUUUGGUAGACGACAAGAACCGGAUUGCUAAAGGUUCUAAGUUCGACAGCUUGUUGGAUUUGAAGAUGUGGCUCGACAACUACUCGGUUACGCAUUAUCGUCCACACAAGGUGGUGAACUCGGACGUCAAUGUGCGCUACACGGUUGCAUGUGCAUGUGAAGAUGAAAAGGAGGUCCCACUUGGACUUACAAGAGGCCGUGGUGGUGGUAGAGCUCGUGGAAAGGAGGUCCAACAAGGAGUGGCAAGACGCCGUGGCGGUUGUCCGUGGAUUGUGCGUGCAAGACCAUGGAAAGGAGGUCCAACUUGGCAUGUAGUGAGUUGUGUGCCAACUCACAUGUGCCAAGGCAAAAGGGUGGAUGGCAAGAUUGUGUCCGAAGACCACAAACAACUCACGUCCGAGUUCAUCGCUUACAGGCUCUCCAAAUCAAUAUCCACACUUCCAACAAUGAGCGUCCAACAUGUCAUUGACCUUGUGAAAGCCAUCUUUCAUUAG
rnacentral:rRNA from 1 species